AUUGAACGCUGGCGGCAGGCCUAACACAUGCAAGUCGAACGAGUGGCGGACGGGUGAGUAAUGUCUGGGAAACUGCCCGAUGGAGGGGGAUAACUACUGGAAACGGGAGCUAAUACCGCAUACCAUCGGAUGUGCCCAGAUGGGAUUCGCUAGUAGGUGGGGUAACGGCUCACCUAGGCGACGAGCCCUUGCUGGUCUGCGAGGAUGACCAGCCACACUGGAACUGAGACACGGUCCAGACGCCUACGGGAGGCAGCAGUGGGGAAUAGUGCACAAUGGGCGAAAGCCGGAUGCAGCCAUGCCGCGUGUAUGAAGAAGGCCUUCGGGUUGUAAAGUACUUUCAGCGAGGAGGCGUUACUCGCAGAAGAAGCACCGGCUAACUCCGUGCCAGCAGCCGCGGUAAUGC
rnacentral:rRNA from 1 species